GACGAACGCGGGCGGCGUGCUUAACACAUGCAAGUCGAACGGAAAGGCCUCUUUCGGGGGGUACUCGAGUGGCGAACGGGUGAGUAACACGUGAGUAACCUGCCCUUGACUUUGUGAUAACUUCAGGCAACUGGGGCUAAUACCGGAUAGGAGCUCCUGCUGCAUGGUGGGGGUUGGAAAGUUUCGGCUGUUGGGGGUGGACUCGCGGCUUAUCCGCUUGUUGGUGUGGUAGUGGCUUACCACGGCUUUGACGGGUAGCCGGCCUGAGGGGGUGACCGGCGACAUUGGGACUGAGAGACGGCACAGACUCGUACGGGAGGCAGCAGGGGGGAAUAUUGCACAAGGGGUGGAAGCCUGAUGCAGCAAGGCCGUGUGCGGGAAGACGGCCUUCGGGUUGUAAACCGCUUUCGGGCAUGACGAAGCUUUGUGUGACGGUAGUGGGUAAAGAAGCACCGGCUAACUACGUG
rnacentral:rRNA from 1 species